rnacentral:rRNA from 1 species
GAUGAACGCUAGCUACAUGCUUAACACAUGCAAGUCGAGGGGAAACGGCAUCGAAAGCUUGCUUUUGAUGGGCGUCGAACGGCGCACGGGGGAGUAACGCGUAUCCAACCUGCCCAUCACUUGGGAAUAACCUUGCGAAAGUAAGACUAAUGCCCAAUGACAUCCCAAGAAAGCAUCCGAAUGGGAUUAAAGAUUUAUCGGUGAUGGAUGGGGAUGCGUCUGAUUAGCUUGUUGGCGGGGUGACGGCCCACCAAGGCAACGAUCAGUAGGGGUUCUGAGAGGAAGGUCCCCCACAUUGGAACUGGGACACGGUCCAAACUCCUACGGGAGGCAGCAGUGAGGAAUAUUGGUCAAUGGGCGAGAGCCUGAACCAGCCAAGUAGCGUGCAGGAUGACGGCCCUAUGGGUUGUAAACUGCUUUUAUAAGGGAAUAAAGUGGGUCACGUGUGACUUUUUGCAUGUACCUUAUGAAGAAGGACCGGCUAAUUCCGU